CCUACGGGAGGCAGCAGUGGGGGAUAUUGCACAAUGGGGGGAACCCGGAUGCAGCGACGCCGCGUGGGUGAAGGAGCGUUUCGGCGCGUAAAGCCCUAUCGGCAGGGAAGAAGGAGGACGGUACCUGACUAAGAAGCCCCGGCUAACUACGUGCCAGCAGCCGCGGUAAUACGUAGGGGGCAAGCGUUAUCCGGAUUUACUGGGUGUAAGGGGGGCGCAGACGGCAGCGCAAGCCAGGAGUGAAAGCCCGGGGCCCAACCCCGGGACUGCUCUUGGAACUGCGCGGCUGGAGUGCAGGAGGGGCAGGCGGAAUUCCUGGUGUAGCGGUGAAAUGCGUAGAUAUCAGGAGGAACACCGGUGGCGAAGGCGGUCUGCUGGACAGCAACUGACGGUGAGGCGCGAAAGCGUGGGGAGCAAACAGGAUUAGAUACCCUUGUAGUC
rnacentral:rRNA from 1 species